rnacentral:rRNA from 1 species
UACAGAGGGGGCAAGCGUUAUUCGGAAUUAUUGGGCGUAAAGGGCGCGUAGGCGGCUUUGCAAGUGACGGGUGAAAUCCCUCGGCUUAACCGAGGAACUGCCUGUCAGACUGUGAGGCUUGAGACCGGGAGAGGUGAGUGGAAUUCCCAGUGUAGCGGUGAAAUGUGUAGAUAUUGGGAGGAACACCAGUGGCGAAGGCGGCUCACUGGACCGGAACUGACGCUGAGGCGCGAAAGCGUGGGGAGCAAACAGG